CAGGUUACAGGUGUCUUUCUUCCCCACCCCUCCUGUUUCUGUCUCUGUCGUAGUAAAAACUUGAAAUCAGAACAGCUGCCUGCUGGGAGCAACAGAAUCACAGGCCGGGCUCCGAGGCCUAGCAGUAACCUGGGGGCAGAAACACUUGAGCCGAUGUCAUCUUUCGGGACAGACACCGGGAGGCCCCUGCUCAGGGUCAUCCUCUUGCAAGGGCCUGUAGUGACAGCAGAGCUUAGCGCCUCCAGAGUUAGCGUCUCCAGGCGCCUGUCUCUUCUCCAGCACCAGGCCAUCCGACACUCGACUCUCCUUAGCCGGAGACACCGGGUCAGGCAGACACGGUGACGUGCGCCAGGUCAGGCGGCCCUGCUCCCUCCCUCACAGCCAGACAAGGGCCUCGCACACCAGCCCACCGCAAGAUGCAGAACAAAAUGCAGCCACACAAGCAUACUGCCUUUCUGAAACUUAAAGAAAAAUUUAUUGAAGAUCUGAAAAACAAUUCCUAAAAGAUUGACUUUUCCAGAAAACCGUAGCUACACAAUGCAUUGCGUCUAUUAUGUUAAAACGUGCAUUCGACACAAAUACAAAACCAUGGAAACAAGCCACCGAUCUCCCACAGCGUGAGCAGGGCAGGUAAGGUGUCUAAGACACAGCGGGGACAGCUGCAGGGCGGGCUCUUCACGUGAAGCACCAGGGAAGAGGAGCACGAACGGCGCGUGUUCGGUUCACACACUCCAGUGGGCCUUUGGCACUAGCAGUCAGCGUUUGUCAGAGAGCGUCAACACGUACUAGGAAAGUGCGCAGUGUCAAAGGGAAGAGCUGCCAGCUCUGGGGAGCAGCUUCGUCAACUAGGCAAGGACACACUGCCGCACGUCUCUCCGUCGUCUGGCACUGAACACACUGGCAGCGACCUUGAAAUGAAGAGAAA